GGUUAAGCGACUAAGCGUACACGGUGGAUGCCCUGGCAGUCAGAGGCGAUGAAGGACGUGCUAAUCUGCGAAAAGCGUCGGUAAGGUGAUAUGAACCGUUAUAACCGGCGAUGUCCGAAUGGGGAAACCCAGUGCAAUUCGUUGCACUAUCGUUAACUGAAUACAUAGGUUAACGAGGCGAACCGGGGGAACUGAAACAUCUAAGUACCCCGAGGAAAAGAAAUCAACCGAGAUUCCCCCAGUAGCGGCGAGCGAACGGGGAGCAGCCCAGAGUCUGAAUCAGCUUGUGUGUUAGUGGAACGGUCUGGAAAGUCCGACGGUACAGGGUGAUAGUCCCGUACACCAAAAUGCACAGGUUGUGAACUCGAAGAGUAGGGCGGGACACGUGGUAUCCUGUCUGAAUAUGGGGGGACCAUCCUCCAAGGCUAAAUACUCCUGACUGACCGAUAGUGAACCAGUACCGUGAGGGAAAGGCGAAAAGAACCCCGGCGAGGGGAGUGAAAAAGAACCUGAAACCGUGUACGUACAAGCAGUGGGAGCACCUUCGGGUGUGACUGCGUACCUUUUGUAUAAUGGGUCAGCGACUUAUAUUCUGUAGCAAGGUUAACCGUAUAGGGGAGCCGCAGGGAAACCGAGUCUUAACUGGGCGUUAAGUUGCAGGGUAUAGACCCGAAACCCGGUGAUCUAGCCAUGGGCAGGUUGAAGGUUGGGUAACACUAACUGGAGGACCGAACCGACUAAUGUUGAAAAAUUAGCGGAUGACUUGUGGCUGGGGGUGAAAGGCCAAUCAAACCGGGAGAUAGCUGGUUCUCCCCGAAAGCUAUUUAGGUAGCGCCUCGUGAAUUCAUCUUCGGGGGUAGAGCACUGUUUCGGCUAGGGGGUCAUCCCGACUUACCAACCCGAUGCAAACUACGAAUACCGAAGAAUGUUAUCACGGGAGACACACGGCGGGUGCUAACGUCCGUCGUGAAGAGGGAAACAACCCAGACCGCCAGCUAAGGUCCCAAAGUCAUGGUUAAGUGGGAAACGAUGUGGGAAGGCACAGACAGCCAGGAUGUUGGCUUAGAAGCAGCCAUCAUUUAAAGAAAGCGUAAUAGCUCACUGGUCGAGUCGGCCUGCGCGGAAGAUGUAACGGGGCUAAACCAUGCACCGAAGCUGCGGCAGCGACACUAUGUGUUGUUGGGUAGGGGAGCGUUCUGUAAGCCUGCGAAGGUGUGCUGUGAGGCAUGCUGGAGGUAUCAGAAGUGCGAAUGCUGACAUAAGUAACGAUAAAGCGGGUGAAAAGCCCGCUCGCCGGAAGACCAAGGGUUCCUGUCCAACGUUAAUCGGGGCAGGGUGAGUCGACCCCUAAGGCGAGGCCGAAAGGCGUAGUCGAUGGGAAACAGGUUAAUAUUCCUGUACUUGGUGUUACUGCGAAGGGGGGACGGAGAAGGCUAUGUUAGCCGGGCGACGGUUGUCCCGGUUUAAGCAUGUAGGCUGGUUGUCCAGGCAAAUCCGGAUAAUCAAGGCUGAGGUGUGAUGACGAGGCACUACGGUGCUGAAGUAACAAAUGCCCUGCUUCCAGGAAAAGCCUCUAAGCAUCAGGUAACAUCAAAUCGUACCCCAAACCGACACAGGUGGUCAGGUAGAGAAUACCAAGGCGCUUGAGAGAACUCGGGUGAAGGAACUAGGCAAAAUGGUGCCGUAACUUCGGGAGAAGGCACGCUGGUGUGUAGGUGAAGUCCCUGCGGAUGGAGCUGAGACCAGUCGAAGAUACCAGCUGGCUGCAACUGUUUAUUAAAAACACAGCACUGUGCAAACACGAAAGUGGACGUAUACGGUGUGACGCCUGCCCGGUGCCGGAAGGUUAAUUGAUGGGGUUAUCCGUAAGGAGAAGCUCUUGAUCGAAGCCCCGGUAAACGGCGGCCGUAACUAUAACGGUCCUAAGGUAGCGAAAUUCCUUGUCGGGUAAGUUCCGACCUGCACGAAUGGCGUAAUGAUGGCCAGGCUGUCUCCACCCGAGACUCAGUGAAAUUGAACUCGCUGUGAAGAUGCAGUGUACCCGCGGCAAGACGGAAAGACCCCGUGAACCUUUACUAUAGCUUGACACUGAACAUUGAGCCUUGAUGUGUAGGAUAGGUGGGAGGCUUUGAAGCGUGGACGCCAGUCUGCGUGGAGCCAACCUUGAAAUACCACCCUUUAAUGUUUGAUGUUCUAACGUUGGCCCCUGACCGGGGUUGCGGACAGUGUCUGGUGGGUAGUUUGACUGGGGCGGUCUCCUCCCAAAGCGUAACGGAGGAGCACGAAGGUUAGCUAAUCCUGGUCGGACAUCAGGAGGUUAGUGCAAUGGCAUAAGCUAGCUUGACUGCGAGCGUGACGGCGCGAGCAGGUGCGAAAGCAGGUCAUAGUGAUCCGGUGGUUCUGAAUGGAAGGGCCAUCGCUCAACGGAUAAAAGGUACUCCGGGGAUAACAGGCUGAUACCGCCCAAGAGUUCAUAUCGACGGCGGUGUUUGGCACCUCGAUGUCGGCUCAUCACAUCCUGGGGCUGAAGUAGGUCCCAAGGGUAUGGCUGUUCGCCAUUUAAAGUGGUACGCGAGCUGGGUUUAGAACGUCGUGAGACAGUUCGGUCCCUAUCUGCCGUGGGCGCUGGAGAAUUGAGGGGGGCUGCUCCUAGUACGAGAGGACCGGAGUGGACGCAUCACUGGUGUUCGGGUUGUCAUGCCAAUGGCACUGCCCGGUAGCUAAAUGCGGAAGAGAUAAGUGCUGAAAGCAUCUAAGCACGAAACUUGCCCCGAGAUGAGUUCUCCCUGAGACUUUAAGUCUCCUGAAGGAACGUU
rnacentral:rRNA from 1 species